AACCGGAACCGCCGGAACCAGACCGCCAGAACCGACAGAACCGCCAGGGCCCCGGUUCCGGUUCGGAACCGCCCCAUUUACAGCCUUAGUUGAGCCUUGCCUUAUUUCGUACUUUGGUGAGACUAGUGAGGUAGGGUUUUGUCUAAGAUAGCUAGUGGCAAUGUUACAUCUUACUAUUUCACUUUUCAGUGCAGAACCUAUUUACU
rnacentral:lncRNA from 1 species